AUGCACUUUCAUGACAGAGAGAACUUGGAGAGAUCAGUUUGCAUUUCAGACAUAACAUAUUAUAAUUUGGUUGCCCUGAUAGAGACAGAGGGAUAUGGGCUGAAUGAUUUCAUGUAUAUUGUGAGGGAUCCUGGUGUGGGGAUAGAAGGAAUGGAUGAAAUUUGUGAUGAUGAUAAGGUGGAUGAAAUGCUUGACCAUAUUGCUAACAAUGAUCAGAAUGUAGUUAACUUGACAGUGGUUAGGGGCACUGAUCCAAGACCUGCAGCUUUGAACUCGGGCCAUCUGUAUGAGGAGCGGCUUCCUUUGAGCCAAUUAGGAGAGAAACCUGUGUAUGUAGUAGAUCCUUCUGGUGUUCUCUUAAGAUCACCACCAACAAGUAUAAUACAGAGUCAACCAGAGCCACUACAGUUCUACACCACACAGCAGAGCACAAACCAUGAUAUGCAGGUUCCUUUGGAUACAGAUGCUGCCAUGGAACAAUGCAUUGUAGUAGAUCAGGAUGAAGUGGAUACAAUAAUGGAGUUGAAGAGGAGAACAAAGAUUGCCAAAUUUAGGAAACAUAAGAUUGCAACUGAGCAUGAAAGGUUAAGCAGAAGCUCCCAAUUCUGCUAA
rnacentral:rRNA from 1 species